AACGCGAAGAACCUUACCCAGGCUCGAACGGCAUUGGACAUCCUGCGAAAGCAGGCUCCCGCAAGGGCCGAUGUCGAGGUGCUGCAUGGCUGUCGUCAGCUCGUGUCGUGAGAUGUUGGGUUAAGUCCCGCAACGAGCGCAACCCUUGUCCGCUGUUGCCAUCACGUUAUGGUGGGCACUCUGCGGAGACUGCCGGUGAUAAACCGGAGGAAGGUGGGGAUGACGUCAAGUCAGCAUGGCCUUUAUGUCUGGGGCUACACACGUGCUACAAUGGCCGGUACAAACCGUCGCGAUCUCGCAAGAGGGAGCUAAUCGGAGAAAGCCGGUCUCAGUUCGGAUUGCAGGCUGCAACUCGCCUGCAUGAAGUUGGAAUCGCUAGUAAUCGCGGAUCAGCACGCCGCGGUGAAUACGUUCCCGGGCCUUGUACACACCGCUCGUC
rnacentral:rRNA from 1 species